UGGUUCUGGCAUCGAUGAAGAACGCAGCGAAAUGCGAUAAGUAAUGUGAAUUGCAGAAUUCAGCGAAUCAUCGAAUCUUUGAACGCACAUUGCGCCUCCGGGUAUUCCUAGAGGCAUGCCUGUUCGAGCGUCGUUAAAGACCAUAAGGCUUUGCCUUGCGAUGAGUCUCUGGUGUCUUCUUGACGUCAGGGGCUUUAAACUGAUUGGCGUCUGAAGUUAGCCCAAGCACAGCGAUAUGUGUUCUGUAUCUAUCUAAAGAUUUGCCCAUAACCAAAAUUUUUAAUUGGUCGACCUCGGAUCAGGCAAGAUUACCCGCUGA
rnacentral:misc_RNA from 1 species